rnacentral:lncRNA from 1 species
UUACAACAGAUGUAAGGCGUGGGCCAUGUCCCAUCCUUUAUCCCAGGAUAUGUACGCUAUGUGCACUGUCCCAUAGGUCCGGAUCUAACAGAGAGAAUGACGCAUGUACCCCUAUUUAAUGCCUUGAUUAUCUGUCAUUUUGCUGAUUUUAUGACCAGCUAAGAAUAAUUAGUUUAAAAAACCCCUAGGAUGUCUUGUAUUUGGUACAAAUUUUGAACAUUCAAUUCCUUAUAUUUUAGGAUGGAGGGAUUAUAUAAUACCAACAAACUCUGCUAUAUGACCCUUUCCAUGCUUAGGUGUAUAGCUCCUGGAGUCAUGGUUCUGGCAAUUCGCUAUACCAGAUCAGCAGACUCCAUAGAUCUCAGCUGCACCUGCGCGACUUGCCUCGCCAUGCGCCCAUGCCUAGCCGUGUCCCGGGGAAACAGGAACUUCGUGGUCCCCUGACCAUGCAUAUGCUAGCAGAAAGUGCAACAAAGUUAAGAUCAAGGGAGCGAGGGUUACGUCCCUGUGAAACUCACUGCUGGGUCAUAUAUAGAACGAAGUAGAGGGUGAGAUAGAGCUUCCUUACUCAUCGCAGGACCAGUUUCGGCCAGAAUCCGAAGUGGUCGCGCCAGUUUCGCCGGAGGUAGGCAAUGGCCUUCGUCUCGCCCCUUCCCACCGGAGAAAGGCUUCAUGCCCUCACGCGUCUGAAGCUCGUCGCCGGCAGCACCGUGCAGAAACGCCAGCGCCAGCAGCAGCAGGAGGGACGGCACCAGUACCGCCUGCGACCGGACGCGGAGACGAGCGGCUGCCAUGGCUGAAGCUGCCAAACAAGGCUAAACGAUGGCCUGACUGAUCUGAUGCUAAAGACGAUCGAUGGAGUGCUGGUGUGUUACACAGGGCAGUGGCGGCUUGUUUUUGUAGCUGGGCAUGAGCGGACCCGUCGC